UACGAAGGGGGCUAGCGUUGCUCGGAAUUACUGGGCGUAAAGGGCGCGUAGGCGGCCUGUUAAGUCGAACGUGAAAUCCCCGGGCUCAACCCGGGAACUGCGUCCGAUGCUGGCAGGCUUGAAUCCGGGAGAGGGAUGCGGAAUUCCAGGUGUAGCGGUGAAAUGCGUAGAUAUCUGGAGGAACACCGGUGGCGAAGGCGGCAUCCUGGACCGGCAUUGACGCUGAGGCGCGAAAGCCAGGGGAGCAAAGCGGG
rnacentral:rRNA from 1 species